rnacentral:rRNA from 1 species
GGCGAACGCUGGCGGCGUGCCUAAUACAUGCAAGUCGAGCGGACCGGAUUGGGGCUUGCCUUGAUUCGGUCAGCGGCGGACGGGUGAGUAACACGUGGGCAACCUGCCCGCAAGACCGGGAUAACUCCGGGAAACCGGAGCUAAUACCGGAUAACACCGAAGACCGCAUGGUCUUCGGUUGAAAGGCGGCCUUUGGGCUGUCACUUGCGGAUGGGCCCGCGGCGCAUUAGCUAGUUGGUGAGGUAACGGCUCACCAAGGCGACGAUGCGUAGCCGGCCUGAGAGGGGGACCGGCCACACUGGGACUGAGACACGGCCCAGACUACUACGGGAGGCAGCAGUAGGGAAUCUUCCGCAAUGGGCGAAAGCCUGACGGAGCGACGCCGCGUGAGCGAAGAAGGCCUUCGGGUCGUAAAGCUCUGUUGUGAGGGACGAAGGAGCGUCGUUCGAAGAGGGCGGCGCGGUGACGGUACCUCACGAGAAAGCCCCGGCUAACUACGUG